rnacentral:tRNA from 1 species
GGAGGCGUGGCAGAGCGGCUGAACGCACGAGUCUUGAAAACUCGAAUCCGGGAAACCGGAUCGGAGGUUCGAAUCCUCCCGCCUCCG